AACACCAUCAAUAUUAACCAGGUUGACCUCGGAUCAGGUAGGGAUACCCGCUGGACU
rnacentral:rRNA from 1 species